rnacentral:rRNA from 1 species
GUGGGGAAUCUUCCGCAAUGGACGAAAGUCUGACGGAGCAACGCCGCGUGAGUGAAGAAGGUUUUCGGAUCGUAAAGCUCUUUCGUUAGGGACGAACGUGCUCUUUGUGAAUAAUGAGGAGUAAUGACGGUACCUAAAUAAGAAGCCACGGCUAACUACGUGCCAGCAGCCGCGGUAAUACGUAGGUGGCAAGCGUUGUCCGGAAUUAUUGGGCGUAAAGCGCGCGCAGGCGGGAUAUCAAGUCUGUCUUAAAAGUGCGAGGCUCAACCUCGUGAGGGGACAGAAACUGGUAUUCUUGAGUGUCGGAUAGGAAAGUGGAAUUCCAAGUGUAGCGGUGAAAUGCGUAGAGAUUUGGAAGAACACCAGUGGCGAAGGCGACUUUCUGGACGAUGUCUGACGCUGAGGCGCGAAAGCUAGGGGAGCGAACGGGAUUAGAAACCCGUGUAGUCC